UACGGGGGGGGCAAGCGUUGUUCGGAAUUACUGGGCGUAAAGGGUCUGUAGGUGGUCUGCUAAGUCAGACGUGAAAUCCCUCAGCUUAACUGGGGAACUGCGUCUGAUACUGGCGGACUUGAGGGCAGGAGAGGAACGCGGAAUUCCAGGUGUAGCGGUGAAAUGCGUAGAUAUCGGAAGGAACACCAGUGGCGAAAGCGGCUUCCUGGUCCAGCACCGACGUUCAGGCACGAAAGCGUGGGGAGCAAACAGG
rnacentral:rRNA from 1 species